rnacentral:lncRNA from 1 species
CUCCCCCCAUCGUAGAUGGUUCAGCCACGCCCGGUGCCACGAAAUGAUUGAGAACUACGACGGGGUCGAAAUGAAUUUUGUUCUUUGUAUUCAAUAAGUAUUGCAUGACCGAAUAAUUCAAGGAAGGGCGGACUGCGGGGAGGUGGUGCCACGAAAUGAUUGACAACUACGACGGGGUCGAAAUGAAUUUUGUUCAUUGUAUUCAAUAAGUAUUGCAUGAUCAAAUAAUUCAAGGAAGGGCGGACUGCGGGGAGGGUCCUUUUAAGUAGAUGACUCGUCGGGCGAUCAGAGUGGGACUUCUUUAGGAAAAAGAACUUGAAGGCCCCACUUACACGAAGUGAUUUAGAAAGAUUCUUCUUUAUCGAUGGUGAUCGGUGCCUUGCUUCUUUUUCGGCCAAAUCCUGAUUUCGUUUUGCUUCUCCCGAUCGUCGAGCCUGAUCGACUCGACUCUUUUCCCUGCCCCCCGGCCUCUCACUUCGUUUCGUUCUUCUUCUGUACCGUCGCUUGAAUGAAGACACCCGAUCGGCCCGACUUUCCCAAAUGCCCCCCACCGGCCCUUCUCCUUUACGGGUCUGGAUUUUUCGCGUCGUUUCAGUCGUCGUGGUCGACGGGGAAGAAAGAAAUGAAUGAAUGUUCUUUUGGGAAAAUGUAUAAUAAUACACCUACCGAGACGAAAGCCAAAGGUGAGUCUCGUAGGUGGACGUAUCGAACCGAAAUAAGAUCUCAGAUUGACAUCUUGAUACA